GAAAUGGUCAUCGCCCCUCCCACAUCGGCUCAGCUGAGAUACGUUCUUCUACACAACGCCAUUCCUUUUGUAGGGUUUGGUUUCCUGGACAAUGCCAUCAUGAUUGUAGCUGGCACGCAGAUUGAGUUGUCCAUAGGUGUGAUCCUUGGGAUUUCAACCAUGGCAGGUAUGUCGAAACCAGAAAUAAUAUGUGAGUCCCUAAUGGGACCGUAUUCCCUGGGUCGUUCACUAUAUGGGGAAUAGGGUGCCAUUUGGAAUGCAGACUAUAUGCUUUGUAAUGUUUUUAUUUUGUAUAUUUACAGUGCCUAGUGAAAGUCUACACGCCCCUUGCACAGU